rnacentral:rRNA from 1 species
AUUGAACGCUGGCGGCAUGCUUUACACAUGCAAGUCGAACGGUAACAGGCCGCAAGGUGCUGACGAGUGGCGAACGGGUGAGUAAUGCAUCGGAACGUGCCCAGUCGUGGGGGAUAACGCAGCGACAGCUGCGCUAAUACCGCAUACGAUCUAUGGAUGAAAGCGGGGGACCGUAAGGCCUCGCGCCAUUGGAGCGGCCGAUGUCAGAUUAGGUAGUUGGUGGGGUAAAGGCUCACCAAGCCAACGAUCUGUAGCUGGUCUGAGAGGACGACCAGCCACACUGGGACUGAGACACGGCCCAGACUCCUACGGGAGGCAGCAGUGGGGAAUUUUGGACAAUGGGCGCAAGCCUGAUCCAGCAAGGCCGCGUGCAGGAAGAAGGCCUUCGGGUUGUAAACUGCUUUUGUACGGAACGAAACGGUCCUGGUUAAUACCUGGGGCUAAUGACGGUACCGUAAGAAUAAGCACCGGCUAACUACGUGCCAGCCGCCGCCGUAAGAC